CGCCGCCACUGCCGCCACUCCUCUUCCUCCUCGGCCGCCGCCGCCUCCCGCACCGCCGCGGCUGCCUCCACCGCCGCCAAGGCUCACCCUCAGCCGCCGUCGCCGUAAAGCGCCUCGGCUGUUACCCCGGGGUGAGAAGCACCAGUCAAGAAGUGUCCUGAACCUGCUCCCCGCCUGCUCUUAACAAGUGAUCCCCCUGCGCGGAUGCAGAGGGAAGAGAACUGCCGCACGCGCCUGAGCGGGGGGUUCCGCUCUUUCCGCUCUGGUCCACGGCCACGAUUUCCAUAAGAGGAACACAGGGCUUCAAGUGGAAGACUGGAGGCUGAGGAGAAUCAGAUGAAAACUUUUCACUCUCCUGUUGAUGGUUGAUGCUGGCUGGAGACCGCAGUUUGAUCUCAUGUAGACCAUGUUGUCUUUUAGUAUAUGGGCUAGUUUGGGCUUCGUCACAGCUUAGUGGCUGGGUUCCAAGGGCGAGUAUGCCAACAGAGAGAGAGAGCCAGGUAAAAGCAUAUUGCCUUUUAUGACUGAGCCUUAGAAAUUAUGCAGUGUCAUUUCUGCUGCACUCUCUUUGUCCAGGUUCCAGAGGAGGGGAAAUAGACCCUAUCUCUUGACCAGGGAGAGGCAAAGUUCUUAAAGAGCAUGUGGGACCAGAAGUAUUGGCUGUGGCGUCUUUGAAAAUUACAAGUUGCCACAGGUGCUUACGUGGAAAGACCUCCUAAAUACCUUAAGGGUAAAUAAAUGAGAUGUAUAAUGAGUACAAUGUGAUCCCAUUUAUGGUUUUUAAAAAGUACAAAACAAAGCUAUACUUCCAAAUGUACAUACAAUGUUUAAAGAUAUGUGUGUUUCAAACCGCAAUUAAAUAUUUGUGUAGUUUUAUUUUACAUGCCAUGUGGUUCUUAAUCCUACUAAUCCUAUCUGUUAUACAGAAAGCCAUGAAUAUGAGUGUCCUUAGCUUUGUUUUAUCCUAAAUGAAAGAAAAGACAUACAUCAAAUUUGAGGGCUAUAGAAUUUAAUCAAAGUAUGAAUAUUAGUAUAUUGUUUUACCACCUGUAAUCCUGGAACACUAUGAGAUUCCCAGGUAAAGUGUUUUAGUUAACA